rnacentral:rRNA from 1 species
UACGGAGGAUCCGAGCGUUGUCCGGAUUUAUUGGGCUUAAAGGGUGCGUAGGCGGUUUUAUAAGUCAGCGGUUAAAGACUCUCGCUCAACGAGAGGGAUGCCAUUGAUACUGUAGAACUUGAGUACUGUAGAGGUAGGCGGAAUUGGUAGUGUAGCGGUGAAAUGCAUAGAUACUGCCAGGAACACCGAUUGCGAAGGCAGCUUACUGGAGAGUAACUGACGCUGAGGCACGAAAGCGUGGGGAUCAAACAGG